GAUGAACGCUGGCGGCGUGCCUAAUACAUGCAAGUCGAGCGAACGGACGAGAAGCUUGCUUCUCUGAUGUUAGCGGCGGACGGGUGAGUAACACGUGGAUAACCUACCUAUAAGACUGGGAUAACUUCGGGAAACCGGAGCUAAUACCGGAUAAUAUUUUGAACCGCAUGGUUCAAAAGUGAAAGACGGUCUUGCUGUCACUUAUAGAUGGAUCCGCGCUGCAUUAGCUAGUUGGUAAGGUAACGGCUUACCAAGGCAACGAUGCAUAGCCGACCUGAGAGGGUGAUCGGCCACACUGGAACUGAGACACGGUCCAGACUCCUACGGGAGGCAGCAGUAGGGAAUCUUCCGCAAUGGGCGAAAGCCUGACGGAGCAACGCCGCGUGAGUGAUGAAGGUCUUCGGAUCGUAAAACUCUGUUAUUAGGGAAGAACAUAUGUGUAAGUAACCGUGCACAUCUUGACGGUACCUAAUCAGAAAGCCACGGCUAACUACGUG
rnacentral:rRNA from 1 species